UUCUCUUCCUAAGAUGAUGGUAAAAUAAGAAAAUAUGGAUGACGUUUCCUAAAAUUUGUUCCAUUUGUAAUUCAGGAGAAAAGAUGUGAUCAGAAUAGGAAUGCUGAAUUCAAGAUAACCUUUUCUGCUGGACCAGUGAUAAAAUUCCAAUGAUCAUUGACAGAAGGCUCAGCACUUCUUGUGGCACACAUGGUGAGAUGGAUGGAUGCUGUUACUGGAAUGCAUCUUCAAAAUUUCUAAAGAUCUCUGAUUUCAACCAUUUGGUUGGAAAUAGACUCAUAGGGCCACAUUCUUCCGUGUUAACUCUUUUAUAUUUACAUUGGAUAAAGUGAUCUUGAAUGUAAAUCUCACUUAUGUGAAAUUAUUAAUAGGAAAAGCCAAAAUAGUAAAUAUUUUAUUUAUUAAAAUGCACUGCAGGCUUUUAUGGAGAAAUAUUAUAAUUAAUCCUCACAAAACAUUAGAUUUUUACUCAAAUUAAUUUGAAUAAAACUCUGCCAUUUGCUUCUGUCAUCAGAUCCCAUUUUUAAUGAGGUUCUGCCUAUCUCCUUUGUGUGGCCUCCCUUUUCUUUAUAGCACUAAGAGACAGUGUCAGGUUGGCAGCACAAAAACUGCCCAUUUAUCUCCAGAUAUGGAUGAGCUUCCUGAAAGUCAUUCAGAGUAAGUACCUGUUCCCCCAUUCCCAUUCCUCCAUUCUUCUCUAUGCUGGCUGGGAACCACCAGUACCCUCCUGUUUGCCCUUGAUUUUUGGACUGACUUAGAAACCACAUUUUAAAGAACCUAAUCCUUCGAGAAUGUUUGUGGUAUAAUAAUAAAUAUUGGAAGGCAUACUUCAACUCCAAAUGAUUUAUAUGAAUAAAAGCUAUAUCAACUCUGAAUGCAUUUUUUUUUUGCUUCAUUCUAGUUUUUAUGUAAAAUUUGCAACCACAUAUUUUCUGAGUUACAUAAGAACUAUUUUCAUCCCUUAAUUUCCUACCAAAGGGCCCAGAUUAAAUUUGACAUUUUGGAUCAGGUUCCAGAAUUCCUGUUCAUUAUGUCCUCAGAAUCAGAGGCAAAGAUCAGAUUUCACCUGGGCUACUUGUAAAUGGCUGUGGGAAAGUCCGAAAUCUUUGUCAGUUUCCUAGGGUAAGUGGGUGCAACGAAUAUGAGUGUUGUCAUGUUUAGAAUUCCCCAAAUUGUUUUAAGUCAAAGUUUUUACUCAUUUAAAUGGGUUGUUUUUCUACAGCUUUCUAUUUUGAUUCCUGUUGUAAUGUGGAAGUUAUUAAAAACUGAAAUAAUUUCCCCCUUU